CAACCUUUAACCAUUCUGUGGUUCUGUGAGCACAAUCAGCUGCCCUGCCCUGCCCUGCCCUGCCCCGCCCCUCCCGCGGCUCCGGUGGGGAAGGCGGUGAGAGGGCGAGAAGGGCUGGGGAGGCGGGGAAGGAGAGAAAAUGGCCGCCGCUGGUGGGGAGGGAGGGCGGCCCCCCAGCGCACCUGAGGGAGAGGGGCCGCGCGUGGAGGAGCGUGUGGGGCAAAAGACCAGCGGGCGGGAAGUAUAAGGCUGCAGAUCAAGGUUUCAAUCAAUAGAGAAAAGGAUGGUGUAGAGAGCCCAGCAUAUCACGAUUCAGUGCAACAGAGAGACAGGGUCAGUUAUUAAACCAUCGUCAGCCUGCAGGGUUUGCAGCAUUUGGACAGUUUCUCACUUCUUCUCCUGCCCAGAACACAGCUAGUCAAGCAAAGGCUGUAACUCUCAGCAAACCUUCCCAAGUAUGUAAAAGGAUUAGCAGAGGGACCUUCCUGGUUCUGUCAUUUCUUAAAAACCCAGUUCACAGAUGAGAAGUUUCAAGUACAGCUUGGCAAAUCCAGAGGAUGCUGGGGGAAGCAGCUGAUACAAUUCACAUGUUCACUCAUCUACUGCAUAUGGAAUAUAAGGAAGAGGAGUCCAACAAAAGGUGCAGUAUUUUCCCUUUGAAAUGUUCAUGAAAUUAAACAGAUAAUGGUCCCAGACAUGUUUUUUCCAUGAGCAGAAGUGGUGCAUGGAUCAUCCUAUGCCCUCAGAGCCGGCUACUGACAACCAUGACAACUUUAAGUCGGCAAGAAUUGAAGUGAGAUCACCAACUCACCUUGCGCCUACUACCUAAGGGUCAUCACACUCUGAGGAACAGAAAUCCCACCUGGCAGCUUGGCAAGUGUGACAUUCAACCCUCCAUUAAAAGUACCUUGUAUUAAUUAUAAUUUCUUUAGAUGAUUUAACAGUUACAGGUUCGUUUUUAAUGUACAUCGUUUUUAACCAAAAUCCUUUAGGUUUGCAUGGGGAUCCAGGACAACAAUGAAGAGUAGAUAUGCAAGAAAUAUUACAUAUAAGAUAGAUAAGGAACAUCAGAUAGAUAAGGAACUGGUGAAUCCUUCUCAGUGGUGCAUCUACCCCUGGAAACAAGUGAGAGCCAGAGAACAAAAAGGCCAGUUAACCAUUAUUAUUAUUAUAGAACACGAAGCAGCUCUAUUCAGUUAGAAACAAAUGGCCAAGUGACUACUAGAAGAUUUGUGUCUACCAUAGCUGGUUUCAAAGAUGCAGAGGGGGGCCAGAACUGUUUGUCACGGGGCUGUGGCACUGCUAUGGCUGCACCAGAUCAGGUUUGCUGGUGUCUCAUCAGAGCAGGAGGGUCCUGGCAAGGGCUGGGGCACAGCACUGUCUGCUGCUGCUAAAAAUUCACCACUGCAACUCUCAUCUUUUUGACACAAGCUUCACCAUCCAUGUUUGAGGUGUUGCUUAGGAAAGGAGUCUUCAGGGUCACUAGGAGACAGGAGUUAGGGAGCUGAGGGUUCUGAGGCCACUGGGGGUAAAGAGGCCAGAAAGAUUUUGGAGGUUGCCUCCUUGGCUAGGCAAAAGCAGAGCCCAUUUGCUCCUGAUCCCUUCAACUCCCUCCCAGUUCUCCUUCUUUCACUACUCACUAGGAAUAAAAAUAGUGGCUAUGGGUGGCCGGAUUGCCUGGGGCAGGUCAGGAAGGAGAAAAUACUGGGAAUGGGGUCUGAGCAUGGAGUCAUCCCACAGAGAAGAAGAAGAUCUACACUGCUGUUUGCAAACAGCUGCAGAUCCCCUGGGAUUUGUUUUCCAAUUAGUAACAAAGCACAUUAACAAAGUCUAUUUAGAUGGUUUUACACUUGAGUGAGAUUUUCCUAAAUUAGUAGCCAUCAAUUCUUAUUCGGAGAGUGAAUCUGACAAAUUCCAUGGAUUAUACCAGUGUACAGCCCUCCUCCUGCAAAAAAAAGGGCAGUGAGUCACAAUCAGAAAAAAAGGAACUUGCUUUAAGAGUAGCAUAUCCCUGUUUUUCCUAUCAAAACACUUUGUUGUGUCUUUCCGUAGUUUUAGUAGUUGCAGUUUUUUGGACUUCAGUAAUGGGAAAUUAUUCUAGAGGGGAAUAUUAAUAGAAAGUUCUUAAAAGGCACUGAGAAGGUAGAUGGUACCUUUUCAUCAAAAGAACAAACCAACUGCAAACAAGAAAUGGAACAUUUAAACCUAAGGAAAAUAAAUCUCUAUUACCCUAAAUAACUUGGACUCAAUAGUAGAGAGUGUCGCUGAGAAAGCAAACUGGAUGCUCACACAGAUAACAUGCAUUUGUGCAUGUUACAAUUAAUGAAAAUAGCUUAAAAUUUAUUUCACCCCACAUUUCAAAGACUAAAUCAAUCUCUGUUUAGGCAGGGCAGAUGACCUCACACCUGCCUCUGUGUCAUGUCCUGCACUUCAGCUGAGGAUUUACAGUUGGCCUCUUGUAGGGGUGUGUGACUGGGGACCAGGAGGAAUAUGGGCUUUGACCCAACUGGUGCUAAUUGCACCUCAAUUUUUCAACAGUGUUGCCAGGUCUGGCCCAUGAAACAGUGCUGGCUGGAAUAUCCCUAAGGAUUGUCAGUGAUGGCCUUAGCAAUAGGCCCGAGCCUCAGGGACUGAACCUUUCCAUAAAAAAAAUGUCUUUGUAGACACGGCCACUCAGAUCUCCAAGGCAGCACCUCUGAGUGUGUGUGUCUAUCCAUCCAUCCAUCCAUCCAUCCAUCCCUUACACACAAGCACGCAGACUCAAGAGUUAUUUUGCUGGUCCAAGGAGAGUGAAACCUCUACUGAACAUUUACUUGUGGAAUUUCUUCCUCGAAAAUAUCAUCUGGGAUGUUCUCAGAGACCUGAAGGUGUACACAACAGUUCACUGCAAUGUUUAUCUACUGCUUAGGUGGGAAAAAUUCACAAUAAAAGUGAUGCAGGAUGCCAUUAAUGAACCUUGUCCUCCUGCCAUCAGGGGAAGGCACAAAGAACUGAAGAGUGGUUUGAACAAGCUCAGCAUCUUCUACACUUAAACAAAAGAUUGUGUCCUACAGGGACACCAGUUUAUUUACCAGGAAUUGUAGCAACACAUCAAAGAAGUUGCUUUUGGUCUUUGCAAUGGCCUUAAGGAAUAUCUGUCCUAGGAGUGAGCUCAGUGACACCUGAACCCUCACUCUUCCCAGGACUUAAGCACUGACAGCAGGUUGUGGCAGGACACAAGGACCAGCUUUAGCACAUCUUCAGUCCACAAAGCAGGAAGAGAAGGUGUUCCCUGUACUCUUAUGACCACCCUGUCCAUCAAAUUUUGGCUGUUAUUAGAAGGUAAAGGGUUUGGAUAGGUCUUUUAGCUUCCACCCAAAUCACCUGGUCAUUUGAUGCUUAGCAGGAGUAUUAUGGUCUACAGGGGCAGCAGGAAUGGUGGCACUAGAGGGAGCUCUGGCAGCAUCACCCACCUCCAAGCCCCCCAGUCUGGAACCAGACCCAGAUCACAAGAUUUGCCUCUAAAAUUGUGAAGGUUUGGACUGUCUGGUGGUUUAUUCCUUAUAUUACCUUCUGUGAACAUCUGAAUAACAUUUUUAAAUGGUUUUUUUGCUGCUACAAACUCUGGAAUUACCAGCAUCCCCUGUGCUCUUGCCAACAGCUCCUGUGAUUGCAUGGUUCUAGGAACUAGGAUUUAGCCCACUAACUAAAUGUUUAUGAACCAAAAGCUAACUCAAACACU